rnacentral:rRNA from 1 species
UAGGGAAUCUUCGGCAAUGGGGGGAACCCUGACCGAGCAACGCCGCGUGAGUGAAGAAGGUUUUCGGAUCGUAAAGCUCUGUUGUUAAGGAAGAACGAGUGUGAGAAUGGAAAGUUCAUACUGUGACGGUACUUAACCAGAAAGGGACGGCUAACUACGUGCCAGCAGCCGCGGUAAUACGUAGGUCCCGAGCGUUGUCCGGAUUUAUUGGGCGUAAAGCGAGCGCAGGCGGUUAGAAAAGUCUGAAGUGAAAGGCAGUGGCUCAACCAUUGUAGGCUUUGGAAACUGUUUAACUUGAGUGCAGAAGGGGAGAGUGGAAUACCAUGUGUAGCGGUGAAAUGCGUAGAUAUAUGGAGGAACACCGGUGGCGAAAGCGGCUCUCUGGUCUGUAACUGACGCUGAGGCUCGAAAGCGUGGGGAGCGAACAGG